rnacentral:misc_RNA from 1 species
GAUGAAGAACGUAGCGAAAUGCGAUAAGUAAUGUGAAUUGCAGAAUUCCGUGAAUCAUCGAAUCUUUGAACGCACAUUGCGCCCCCUGGAAUUCCGGGGGGCAUGCCUGUCCGAGCGUCAUUUCUGCCCUCCAGCCCGGCUGGGUGUUGGGCGCUGUCCCCCCGGGGACACGCCCCAAAGGCAGUGGCGGCGCCGCGUCGGGUCCUCGAGCGUAUGGGGCUUUGUCACCCGCUCGGGACGGACUCGUCGGCGCUGGUCUUCCUCCAGGCGACCCUUCGGGGCUCGUCUUCCUUCGGUUGACCUCGGAUCAGGUAGGGUUACCCGCUGAACUUAAGCAUAUCAAUAAGCGGAGGA